GCACUGACCAUGUUAAUGGGGCUAAUUAAAAAGCCCACAAUUAGGAUGUAUUGUGGGCUUUUUAAUUAGCCCCAUUAACAUGGUCAGUGC